CCAGUGUGUUUCGACACACUAUCAUUAACUGAAUCCAUAGGUUAAUGAGGCGAACCGGGGGAACUGAAACAUCUAAGUACCCCGAGGAAAAGAAAUCAACCGAGAUUCCCCCAGUAGCGGCGAGCGAACGGGGAGGAGCCCAGAGCCUGAAUCAGUGUGUGUGUUAGUGGAAGCGUCUGGAAAGGCGCGCGAUACAGGGUGACAGCCCCGUACACAAAAAUGCACAUACUGUGAGCUCGAUGAGUAGGGCGGGACACGUGGUAUCCUGUCUGAAUAUGGGGGGACCAUCCUCCAAGGCUAAAUACUCCUGACUGACCGAUAGUGAACCAGUACCGUGAGGGAAAGGCGAAAAGAACCCCGGCGAGGGGAGUGAAAAAGAACCUGAAACCGUGUACGUACAAGCAGUGGGAGCCUCUUAAUGGGGUGACUGCGUACCUUUUGUAUAAUGGGUCAGCGACUUAUAUUCUGUAGCAAGGUUAACCGAAUAGGGGAGCCGAAGGGAAACCGAGUCUUAACUGGGCGUUAAGUUGCAGGGUAUAGACCCGAAACCCGGUGAUCUAGCCAUGGGCAGGUUGAAGGUUGGGUAACACUAACUGGAGGACCGAACCGACUAAUGUUGAAAAAUUAGCGGAUGACUUGUGGCUGGGGGUGAAAGGCCAAUCAAACCGGGAGAUAGCUGGUUCUCCCCGAAAGCUAUUUAGGUAGCGCCUCGUGAAUUCAUCUCCGGGGGUAGAGCACUGUUUCGGCAAGGGGGUCAUCCCGACUUACCAACCCGAUGCAAACUGCGAAUACCGGAGAAUGUUAUCACGGGAGACACACGGCGGGUGCUAACGUCCGUCGUGAAGAGGGAAACAACCCAGACCGCCAGCUAAGGUCCCAAAGUCAUGGUUAAGUGGGAAACGAUGUGGGAAGGCCCAGACAGCCAGGAUGUUGGCUUAGAAGCAGCCAUCAUUUAAAGAAAGCGUAAUAGCUCACUGGUCGAGUCGGCCUGCGCGGAAGAUGUAACGGGGCUAAACCAUGCACCGAAGCUGCGGCAGCGACACUAUGUGUUGUUGGGUAGGGGAGCG
rnacentral:rRNA from 1 species